GUGGCUGGAGCCAAACGGUGAGGCAGCAGACUGUGAAUCUGUUUUUAGCGGGUUCGACUCCCGCCGGUCACCCCA
rnacentral:tRNA from 1 species